GACGAACGCUGGCGGCGUGCUUAACACAUGCAAGUCGAACGGUAAGGCCCUUCGGGGUACACGAGUGGCGAACGGGUGAGUAACACGUGGGUGAUCUGCCCUGCACUUCGGGAUAAGCCUGGGAAACUGGGUCUAAUACCGGAUAGGACUCCUGCCUGCAUGGGUGGGGAUGGAAAGCUUUUGCGGUGUGGGAUGGGCCCGCGGCCUAUCAGCUUGUUGGUGGGGUGAUGGCCUACCAAGGCGACGACGGGUAGGCGGCCUGAGAGGGUGACCGGCCACACUGGGACUGAGAUACGGCCCAGACUCCUACGGGAGGCAGCAGUGGGGAAUAUUGCACAAUGGGCGCAAGCCUGAUGCAGCGACGCCGCGUGAGGGAUGACGGCCUUCGGGUUGUAAACCUCUUUCAGCACAGACGAAGCGCAAGUGACGGUAUGUGCAGAAGAAGGACCGGCCAACUACGUGCCAGCAGCCGCCGUAA
rnacentral:rRNA from 1 species